rnacentral:snRNA from 1 species
AGCUUUGUGCAGUGGCAAUAUUGUAGCCAAAGAGUUUUAUCCAAGGCAUGAUUAUUGCUAAUUGAAAAA